UGGGGAAUUUUGGACAAUGGGCGCAAGCCUGAUCCAGCAAUGCCGCGUGCAGGAAGAAGGCCUUCGGGUUGUAAACUGCUUUUGUACGGAACUAAACGGCUCUGGUUAAUACCCGGGGCUAAUGACGGUACCGUAAGAAUAAGCACCGGCUAACUACGUGCCAGCAGCCGCGGUAAUACGUAGGGUGCAAGCGUUAAUCGGAAUUACUGGGCGUAAAGCGUGCGCAGGCGGUUGUGUAAGACAGGCGUGAAAUCCCCGGGCUCAACCUGGGAAUUGCGCUUGUGAAUGAACGGCUGGAGUGCGGCAGAGGGGGAUGGAAUUCCGCGUGUAGCAGUGAAAUGCGUAGAUAUGCGGAGGAACACCGAUGGCGAAGGCAAUCCCCUGGGCCUGCACUGACGCUCAUGCACGAAAGCGUGGGGAGCAAACAG
rnacentral:rRNA from 1 species